UACCUUUGUUGCUUUAUUUGGCUCUAGUAAGAUAGGUUUUCUAAAAACGCGAAAUAUGGCACUUAAUAUUCCAAAUGCAUUCUCAACGACACGCCGAGCUCGGCUAAGGCGAUAAUUAAAUAUUCUUUCUUUAGAACCAUUUUCUGGGUUCCCGCUCAGCCUUAUCCAGGAUCCGUCUACAAUGGAAGCAGACUUUGUUCCCGACUGUUUCUGACGCUUGUCGGCCAUUAUUUCUUCGGAGCAUAUUUUGGAGUUUCCUGUCUGGUUUUUUAGGAGGGCCUUAAUCUCAAGCUACUCUUGUGCACGUGGUCACCGCGUGGGUGAUUGGUGUCGCCGUGGUCUUGCGACUGUUCGUCGGCCAGGUACGGUCCGACGGGUGAGCUGUGACAGCGUGGCUGACCCACAGUGGCGGCUACCGCCUCCACGCUCCUCGUUACAUGAAGACGUCAGGUACCUUGUGUUCUGCGUGAGUGCUGUGUGAUUAUCUGUCCUGUACGACAUACCCCGGAGGACACGAUUUCCGUGUGGAGAUAGACGGACCCCGUAUAUCACCGAUGCCAAGGGGAGCUAUUUGAGAGACUGAGGGAGAGACUUUCAGACUAGGGAGUUGUAUGCAGAGAGAGAGUACUUUGUGAGCCUUGUCUAACAAGAGCUUUGUAUUAAUUUUAUUAUCUGGCUGCGUGUGUGCAGCAUAGUAAUUACUUUAUUUAACGAUUGAGCUACCAGUCACCAGUGUUCACCUCUCGAACUUGCAAAGCGGCCCUGAGGCCUUGUUUAGAGUCAAUAUACUCAUGUUCAAAGGUAUAGGAUUUUGACAGAGGUUGCCACUUCAGAUCACUGUGGAACCCGAGACAUAGUGGUCUGGGGCGGUCAGCCCUGUACGGUGUGUGCAAUUAUUAUUGUGUGUCUAUUACAGCAUUGUAUUAUAAUAACGUAACUUUUGUCUGUAAAAUACAUGGAAUUGAAAUAGAA